rnacentral:tRNA from 1 species
UGGGGUGUGGCUCAGUGGUAGAGUGCUUACCUAGCAUGCAUGAGGCACUGGGUUCGAUCCUCAGCACCACAU